rnacentral:rRNA from 1 species
AUGAACGCUGGCGGCGUGCCUAAUACCUGCCAGUCGAGCGCACAGACGAGGAGCUUGCUCCUCUGACGUUAGCGGCGGACGGGUGAGUAACACGUGGAUAACCUACCUAUAAGACUGGGAUAACUUCGGGAAACCGGAGCUAAUACCGGAUAAUAUAUUGAACCGCAUGGUUCAAUAGUGAAAGACGGUUUUGCUGUCACUUAUAGAUGGAUCCGCGCCGCAUUAGCUAGUUGGUAAGGUAACGGCUUACCAAGGCGACGAUGCGUAGCCGACCUGAGAGGGUGAUCGGCCACACUGGAACUGAGACACGGUCCAGACUCCUACGGGAGGCAGCAGUAGGGAAUCUUCCGCAAUGGGCGAAAGCUUGACGGAGCAACGCCGCGUGAGUGAUGAAGGUCUUCGGAUCGUAAAACUCUGUUAUUAGGGAAGAACAAAUGUGUAAGUAACUAUGCACGUCUUGACGGUACCUAAUCAGAAAGCCACGGCUAACUACGUG